AAAAUAUUUACCCAUUCUACUUUGUUUGGAGUUCGGAGGCAGCAAAUUAUCACCCUUAUCAAGACUUCUGGCUCUUUUAAGUUUUCCCAUCUCCGCCAGUAUAAGAAACAAUUAUUCACAGUCCCUGAGCAUUUUUAUUCAGGUUGGGCUGGGGAUUAUAGCCAGAGCAAUUAGAAGAGGUUGUUUUUUUUACAAUUUGUAGUUCAGUCUCCUCCGUUUGCACUCUAAGCUUUUAUAGUUCGAGAUAUACAACACAGAUGUGAGCCUCCGCCCCCAAUAGUUUUGUAGAAAUGGAGCUGAGUUGAGAUAUUUAAAAUCUGUGAAAAAGAGAUAACGCGAAUAAGGCAGAUAGAGCAGAUAUUCUCAAUUCUGUUUACAACAGUCUGUACCGCCAAGCAAGCUGCAGCUUUCUAAAACAAUUUGAAGUGAUUUAAAAUUAUAAACUGUCAAUAAAACCUAAAAACUAUAGUACCAACCGCAGAGCUCGGGGCCAGGCAGCCUCCCUCAUCACCAUCUUGUAUAGCCCUCUCAAGUAAAAGUAGGAUGCUAUACUUCUGAAUAUCAGAUGCUGAGAAUAAUGAACAGAGAGCAGGAUUGUUACCUCUGUAUCCUGCUUUAUCUAGCCGUGUCCCUUCUGCCAGUCCAGAUGACAGCCUCCGAUGUUCUGCAGGCAACCUUGAUCUAAGACAAGUCAGCCUUGCUGGCAGGUACAUGGAGGGAAAGAGACAGAUGAGCUGGGCACAUGGCAAUUGGAGUUAACAGGAAGCCAGCAACACCCAGGCCUAUUAGAGAUUGGAAUGCCUCUUCCCAGCUGCACUCCAGGGAAAGUGAACAGGGAUGUGAUGAAGGUUGUAAUUGUUGUGAAUGAUGAAGCAUCCUGGCAUUCACUCGCACAGAUGUACCAGGAUUAUAGACUGUAGCUCUCUGUCGAUAUCUUCCUGGCAUUCCUGUUGAAAGUAUUCUACCAAAGGAAGCAAACAUUUCCUAUUGCAUGCUAGUUUGAAGUUUGAAAACACAGUGUUUUUAUGUAACAGUUGGUUUUUUCAUCAAUUAUGAGAAAUGCACUUGAUUAUUUUCCUAAUGCAAGCUGUGUCCCAAAUGCUCAGGUCUGAAAUUGAAAACCUGCUUUGGGGUUGGUCUCUUGCCAUUAUUACCCACUUUCUGAGCAAUUUUGUAAGCAGGUGAUUGCUUUGAUGGAGAAUUAUUAUUUUUUAAUAAUGCAUGAACAGUGAAUCCAUAUCUACACCAUGAUCAUCAGUUCCUCAUCCCCCCAAUAACUCCACUUGUCUCCUGGAGGGCUGUUCACCCUUCAUCAAUCAAUUGUUUUCCUGGACUGGAACAAAUGCAUAUAUAUUCUGCCUUAUGCUCGUUGCUGCUCUUUUGGCUUCAGGCAGGAGAGACUAUGAAAAUUACAAACCUCAUAACUUUGCCUGUUAUGCUGUGCUGUAUGAAAUCUAAAAACUAUCAUUUUGCUAUAAAAAGAGGUGAAACCAGCGCAACAGAGAAAGGGACACUUUGUUAGCAAGAUGAUAUUGCCUCUUGUAGAAGAUUGUGUCCCAUGAACUGCCAUGAACUGAGACAACAAUGUAUAUGUGAUAACCCUGUAACAUUGAGGCCAGGCCAGGAUAUUAGUUAAUGGACAGAUUAAAAUCAG